GACGAACGCUGGCGGCGUACUUAACACAUGCAAGUCGAACGAUGAACUUGGAGCUUGCUCUGGGGGAUUAGUGGCGAACGGGUGAGUAACACGUGAGUAACCUGCCCUGGACUCUGGAAUAACUUCGAGAAAUCGGAGCUAAUACCGGAUAGGACCUUGCACCGCAUGGUGUGGGGUGGAAAGUUUUUCGGUUUGGGAUGGACUCGCGGCCUAUCAGCUUGUUGGUGAGGUAAUGGCUCACCAAGGCGUCGACGGGUAGCCGGCCUGAGAGGGUGACCGGCCACACUGGGACUGAGACACGGCCCAGACUCCUACGGGAGGCAGCAGUGGGGAAUAUUGCACAAUGGGCGCAAGCCUGAUGCAGCAACGCCGCGUGCGGGAUGACGGCCUUCGGGUUGUAAACCGCUUUUAGUAGGGAAGAAGCCUUCGGGUGACGGUACCUGCAGAAAAAGGACCGGCUAACUACGUGCCAGCCGCCGCGGUAACAC
rnacentral:rRNA from 1 species